rnacentral:rRNA from 1 species
AUUGAACGCUGGCGGCAGGCCUAACACAUGCAAGUCGAACGAGGGGCGGACGGGUGAGUAAUGUCUGGGAAACUGCCUGAUGGCUGGGGAUAACUACUGGAAACGGUAGCUAAUACCGCAUACCAUCGGAUGUGCCCAGAUGGGAUUAGCUAGUAGGUGGGGUAACGGCUCCCCUCGGCGACGAUCCCUAGCUGGGUUGAGAGGAUGACCAGCACCACUGGAACUGAGACACGGUCCAGACUCCUACGGGAGGCAGCAGGUGGGAAUAGUGCACAACGGGCGAAAGCCUGAUGCAGCCAUGCCGCGUGUAUGAAGAAGGCCUUCGGGUUGUAAAGUACUUUCAGCGGGGAGGCGUAACCAGAAGAAGAAGCACCGGCUAACUCCGUGCCAGCAGCCGCGGUAAUAC